GGUAGGUGAUAGUCGUAGAUGAGGAAGUAUCUGGAUAUGUAAAUUCUUUAAGGAUAGUCUUUCAUCCCGUGGUGUAGGCCUUUGUAACGUGCUGUAAUGUGCUUUUCUUUUAAUGAAGUUCUUGUUUUGCUCUCAUGCUUAAGCUGUUCUCUUUUUAUCAUGUGUGAAAUACUUCAGAUUGCUCGCCUUAUAAUUUUAACCAACUGAGCUCUGUCCUGCUUUUUCCCGAGCUAAUCUAACCUAUCUGCGAGCUCUGAUGAGUUGAACUCCGGAUCCACUUAGUCAACUGGGCUUUCAAGUUUUCGAACUGGACUGUCUGACCGACCUGUGAGCUCGGUCUUUAUUUCGAUGAAUUGAGCUUUGAGUCUCCUUCAUCCGUCCGGGCUCUCAGGUCAUGUUGUCCGAGCUGAACUGACCGACCUGAGAGUUCUGUCUUUGCUUAGUGAAAUGAGCUCUGAGUUUCCUUUAGCUGGCCGAGCUCUCAAGUCAUGCUGUCCGAGCUGGAUUAAUCCGACCUCUGAGCUCGGCUUCUGAUGAGUUGAACUCUAAGCUCUCAGCUUUGUAUGACUCCGAGGUGCUUUUGACGCUUCUUUCCGAUCUCCCACCCUUUGUUUAGUAGCGGUGGGUCAAAUCUUAUAACUUUUUGAGUGAUGCGCAAGUCUGACCUUUAUCAUGCUCCCAUUUGCUUGUACUUUUGAGUCUUUUCAUGACUUGCCCCUCUGUUUCCUCGGCAUUUACUAUAGGGAUGGUAAAGUAGUAGGCUAAGUUGCUCUAACUGAUGAGUUGGGCCUGUAUUAUGUGGGUGGCAAAUGGGCUCUUAAAUG
rnacentral:lncRNA from 1 species